rnacentral:rRNA from 1 species
AUGUCUCAGAAAAAACACUCAGCGCCCGAUCCAGAUCCCCAAUCCAGUCUCUGCUCCCACCUCCUCUCCUCAACGCCCCGCCGCAGGGCGUGGAAGCGUUGCGUCCACUCCGGCCACCAUGACAACACCACCUGGGGCCACGCCGCCGCCGCCGACUUCGCGCCCGUGCCCAGGAUGUGCCGCCUCGGGGCCGGGUCACGCCCUACCUCGUCUACCUCGACCACACGCACGCUCCUCGACAACCGCCUCGGCAAGCGCCACUUCGAUGGCGGCUACGUCCACAACGGCCUCCUCCGUGCCGCUGGCUGGGUGCUCGAUAGGGAGUGCGACCUGCUCCAGGACCUCCUCGACCGGUACGUACCCUGCAUACACGCUCACCUUCACGGGCCAGUCCCUCAGCGCCGGUGUCGCCGUCAUGCUCACCAUGGUCGUCGUGCUCAACCUCGACAAGCUCGACAAGGUCGAGAGGGGCCGCACCAGGUGCUACGCCAUGGCCCCCGCCCGUUGUAUGUCGCUCAACCUCGCCGUCAGAUACGCGGAUGUCAUCAACUCCGUCGUGCUGCAGGUGACUCACUGAUGACCCAAUUGAUUUGGUUGCUUGCUUGUCUGAAUUUUGUGGUUACAAGUUCAGUUGUAGAAGAAUUUGGGUUACAUGUAGUAUGUCUGAAUUUGGGUUACAUGUAGCUGUCAGACUGAAUUUUUGUGGAUACCUGCUCUGCUUCUGAGUAAGAUAAACAUUGCAUUGCAGAAUCUAGUAUAAUGCCUAUCUCAAUUUUGCUGGGUGCUUCCUUGUUGCUAGAAAUUCAGUUUAGAAUUUAGUUACAUGCCUAUCUAAAUUUUGUUGGGUGCUCGCCUGCUGCUAAAUUCAGUUAUUACAGAAGUUAGUUACAUGCCUGUCUGAAUUUUGGUGAGUGCUUACUUCCUGCUAAAAGUUCAGUUGCAUAAUUUAGUUACAUGUCUAUCUGCAUUUUGUUGGGUGCUACUUCUGUCAGAUAAGAAUCUGGUUCAGUUAAAAACUGCACUGUCAAAUCUGGACAGCCAGCUUCAAGGUGAAAAACGAGUUAGUUAUUCUUAGAAUUUCGAGUUGCCUCUAUAUGAAAUUUGUAAAGCAAGUUCCAAGCUUUCCGUAGAGUAUUUAUUUGCGUUGUUUGGAUGUAUGGUUUGAGAGCAGCCAUCGUUUUAGUUUGUUGUCCCGAAAGUUAGUAUCCUGAGCGCAUUGUUUUCGUAUGCCAGUUUACGGCCUUAUAGAGGCUGUUUAGGAUUCACCAUGCCACGUGUACGAUGUUAGCCGCUGAUGACAUCCUAACUGCCUAGUACCAAAAUUCUUCAUGGGUGACUUUUUUUUCUUAGCGAAUGGCACGCGUGGCUUCUUCUAGAAGCGUAGACCAUUGAAAGGAGAAGAGGACCAUGACCUCACCUCAUGUGUGUGUAAUGCAUGAGAGCCGUGCAGGAAGGGGAAAAGAUCUUGUUUCAUUCCUGGCCGGUUGCUUUCAGUUUCAGGUUAGUCGUCAGGCUAAUAAUUUGACUGUUUCUUCUGAAGGACUUGCUGUCGAUGUUAGGCCAUCUAUGUAGUGUAUAGUCGACCAGUCAUCUCCAUCACACGUGAUUCAUAAGUGUAGAUGUAUGUUUUUUCUCAACCCAUGGAAUACACUACAUGACCUACAUGUUACAUAUUUGCAGGUAGUAAUCUUUUGUUCUUCCAUCAAUUUUAUUAAUUGAACACAAAAUUGGACCUUAUUGUCAUCAAGGACAGUACGUAAUGGGCUGAUGAGAUAACUGAAAUUUCAUAACAGCGACUCCAUGCAUGAGUGAUGAUGUUGUCAACGGUGUGGCUAAGGCAGAAGGUGUAACCAAAUAUGAUGCAGGUGAAGCUGCUGCAGAUCAGAAAGAGCAAAAAGGUUCAACAACCAUGAAAUCCUAGCUGAGGACGUGCGAGACUGGGAUAUAGCCAGUGACCGGGGGCAAGGGCAGCGUGCGCAGGUGCUUUCUUUGUUUUCAAUCUAAUUGUUG